AUAAUAUAAUGGCGGAGUAUCACUCCUGCCUAUGGGACACGUGGCAUCUCUGUUGGGCCAAACUCUUUAUUUUUAUUUUUUUACGAAUGGGCUGAGAUCUGUAAACCAGGGAUUCAUUAUUAUCGAUCUUUGUCUCUUCCACCUCUCCGUUUCCACUAAUCUUUGACUCGAGAUUCAAUGAACUCUUCUCCAACUCUUAGCCUUCCCCAUCGUUCAAAGAAUUUCUCUUAAUUCUUCGUUAAAGACAGAGCCCUACCCCUUUUUUUUCUUCGUGAAGAAGCUUUUGAAACCUCAGAAAAAGGAAUCAGAUUUGUAAUAAAUCUACGAGAUUUUUCUUCAGGUAAACUGCAUAACCUCUAACCCUAAAGCGAGCUUCUUUCACGUCUUUCCUUUCCAUCGUCCCAUCGUCCCAGCUCCAUAUCUAUCACCCUCGCUCACUCUCUGUUCAUCUCAAAGAUCAAUUUCCUCUACAUCUACCUCUCAUUGGGCCGUUCAAAUUCUGCAAUUGUGUUCUGGUGAUUGAUGAAAUUUUCGCUUGCGGCGGCGACGGGAGAAAAACGGAGGAAUCUUCUCAGACGGAAACGCUCCUGAUACUGCAGAGCGUAUUGGCCGUGAAGCUAAACGCCGAGGCUUUCCUGCGUCUAUCGUAUCCACAGAAGAAUUCGACCCGAUAUUUAAUAAGAAGGAAACCGUGGCAAUUCCUCUGUUUGAUCAGCUUUUAGAUUUGAGUGGUUCUGUUGAUUGAAUUUCGAGUGAACAUAUAAAAGUGUUCUGUUUCUCCAGAGUUCCUUACCUCAUGAGGAGGCUAUGUUGUUAUAUCCACUUCAGGGCAAGGAGACUCUCCAGAUUCUUUCAAGGAGUUUUGUAAGUUUCUUCUUCAAAGAAACUUGGGAAACUCUUGGUUGCAACGAGUUUGCUUUGCACUGUUUGGGCUAGGUGAUUCAGGUUACCAGAAGUACAAUUAGUGUAUCUGACUUGAUCCAAGAAACUCUAGAGCCGGGUCAUCAGAGUUAUCACUGCCUCUUACGCUUCAUCUCAGAUUCAAAGGCAAUCCCACGUGACAAUACUCGGCAAACCUAUGAUCCAGGUUCCUCCUUGGCUUUUUCUUUCCAUCACCUCCUUCUCUACUAUAUGCAUAUAAAUCUUAGUAUGCGCUUUCAUUCUUUGUGUUCCAUCUACGAUGGCUGUAACUCAACAUUUCAAAAUACUCAACUUUAAAUUAUUUUUCUUCAACCGAGAACUUGGGAGAGGUUGGUGUAAGCUUUUACUCUCAAUGAUGUGGCUAAUGUUGCACAGCUCUCUUCUCUUUUUGGUUCUGUACACAAGAAAGUAUUGAACUUUAUGGAUUCAUUGAAUUAAGUUUAACACCAAAAUGUUUGUUGUUCCUUCCUGAUCUUAUGAGUUGUGAACCAACCUUUCUUUCUGUUGAUGUAAAGGUUUAUAGUUCACGGAGUCAAAAACUGCUUUCAAGUUUAUUGAGAAAGUUGUGAUAAUUAUGGAUCUUAGAAUUGUUUCGCAGGUAAGUAGUUAGAGGUAGCAUGUCUAAUAGUGUUGGUCUUAGAAAUUCCUUUGAUUCCAUUGGUGAAGCAGGUUUGAUUGAUGAUUUAUAUGGGAAUGUACAACAACAUAACUCAUUUCAUGCAGCAAAAAACUUGGAUCAAAGAUCAAAGAUCAAAGACAGACUGCUCAGCUGAAUCAUACUUCAAUCAAGCCGUUGCAGCAUCUCCUGAUUACUGCUCAAGAUCAUCAUUCAUGUACUUUUUGGCGUCGACGCAUAUCUUGCAAGCUUCACAUGUGCAGUUCUUUCGGGAUGUUGAAGAGGAAGCAGAUGGGGAGCAGGUGAAGGAAGAGAGACAGAAAGAAGUAAUUGUGCCUCAACCUUCUCGAAUGAAUGUCUUUACCGGACGUUUCCUAAUACGGCCAUGUCUUAGAUUGUGGUCUUGGCAUCUCCAACCAGUUAUUUUGUUUAUUUUAUAGAUUUAGAUAUAAGUGCAACGUCUAUGAUCGAGCUAACUCUUUUGUCUAAUGUGAAUUCUUUAAUGCUGCCUCUCUUUAUUGAUGUUUUUCCUUUUCAA